GUCAGAUUAUUAACAGGAUUCCAAGGUCACGUAAACGUAUCUUCUUUGUCUUUGUAAAAAUUCUUUCUAAUUUUUUAUGCAAAAUUAUUUUAGGGCCAUGUGGAGUAGGGAUCUUAUCCGUUCUGUAAUUAGAAAGUCCUCAAAUAGCCCGACGUGUAUUUUCUUUAAAAAAUAUUUGUGCAUUCAUCCCAUCUUGAGUGCGAAUCAUUGUGUAAACUACUCUAGGGCCAUGUGUUAAGUAUCCAUAGCUACGGAAACUUGAAAAAACUUAAAUGUUGGAUCCUAAGUUUUCUUGUAUACUCUGUGUAUUCCUAACUUCUCUGUGGUUCACACGAGUGAAUUACUCUAGGGCCAUAUUAAAAAAAAAAUGUUUUAUUUGUCCGUGUUGCAACCAUUUUCUCAACUGCAACUCCACAUCCAUCCAGCUUAACUAAAACUUGAUCUGUUGUUUAAAAUGCUUUAUGUGUGUAGGGUCAUGUGCAGAUCUUACAGGUUCCUUGAAACAUGUUUCGGUCGUGAAACGCAAACGAUUACGAGUUCGAGGACGAAAUAUGUACUGUGGAAUCGGAAAAAAAUGGCUGUCAAUCAUUUCUCCGAUCUGUGUAUAAGACGAUGGAUAUCGACCUGCGAUUACGAUUUCGUGUUCGAGCUCGAGUGCGAACAAAGUAACACAAGUACAAGUAUCGUUAGUAGACGAAAAAUGUACAAGAGUCCGAGUACUUCAAUGGUGGAAAAAUGUUUGGCGAAAUUAUGGUGUGGCUAUGUGACGUAUUCUUUUAAAUUGAUCUCCCUUCGAUUGAAAAUGACUCUCGAAAAGAUGACAUAUAUAAAUUAAAAGGUGAAAAUCUUCACGGGAAGUAAAUCAAUGAGGAGAAAUUAAUGGAGCGGAACCGUGGAAUAAAAAUAAAAAAAAACUGAUUGUCAAUCAUCAUUUUGCCUAAUGUUUGUGUACGAAGAAAAUAAGACGAUGAAUAUCGACCUGUUAGGUAUGGACUAAAAUAAUAUCGUUCUUUAACGGUUACGAGUUUGUGUUGUGUUGAGUUAACAUCGAAGAUAUUGCAACUUGUUGUCAAUUGUCUGAUAGGUUUUUAGGUAGAAAAUAAGACGGUGGGUUUCGAUCUUGUUAGGUCUGGAUUAAAACAACGUUCGUUGUAUCGUUACGUAUCGUUCGUUAACGAUUAGGCCUACGGGUUUGUGUUGAGUUCGAGUGGAACCGUGACAUUGAAAACAUUGCAACUUGUUGUCAAUCAUUUUGCCGAUAUGUAAAGCAGAAAAUAAGGCGAGAAUAUCAACCUGCUAGGUUGGGGUUGAAAAAACAAAAAUAUUUUUCGUUAACGAUUACGGGUUCUUGUUGAGUUCCGUUUGUCACAAUUUGUUAAGGCCAUGUGUACGCAAUCUAACCUUUCUAAAUUUCAGUCGCGUCCAUCAUGCGUUUUUUCGCCAUUGAAAUUGAUUGUGAAAAGAAAUCCUGGGGCCAUGUGUACAUGUACAACAUUUUCAUCGACGUUUUGUAGACAUUUCUGCCAAACCCAUUUUUUCUUUUGUUUUCUUCUGUACUCAUGCGACAGGUUAUUAACAGGAUUAUAGGGCCAUACGAACAUUUCUUAAUUUGUCUUUGUAAAAAAAAAAAUUCUAAUUUUUAUGCAAAAUUGUUUUAGGGCCAUGUGAUGUUGAGAUCUUACCGUUCUGUAGAAAUUCCUCAAAUAGCCCGACGUGUAUUUUCUUGAAAACUGUGCAUUCAUCCCGUCUUGAAUGCGAAUCAUUGUGUAAAAAACUCUAGGGCCAUGUGUUAAGUAUCCCCAGCUAUUUUGAAGCUUGGAGAAAGCUGAAAUGUUGAUCCAAGUUUUCUUGUAUAUGCCUACUGUGUGUAUUCCUCACCCGUUGUAACUUCACGGUACUCUAGGGCCAUGUUUACAAAUGUACUUUUGUUUGUGUUGCAACAAGUGUCUCAACUGCAACCUAACCCAUCCAUCUUAACUUGAACUUGGAGAUCUAUUGUUUAAAAAAUGCUGUACAUGUAUAGGGCCAUGUGCAUGUCUUACAGAUUCCUUGAAACAUGUUUUGGAAAUGAAACGUAAUCAGAAUUACGGUUUCAGUGACUCCCAAAGUUUUUAUUUCGCGACAUGUUACGUCUCUUCUCCUUGUUGAAAUGUGUCUGAUUGACAUACAUUGUUUGUGAUUGGCGCUUCCAUAAUAUCCGAUUCGCAAAGAUCGGCAAUUGUUUUUUGUGUGUUAAGGCCAUGGUGACAAUGUUGCUCAUGUAAAUCAGGUGUCAUUCCACCUGAUACACCUCGGAUACACCUCGUAAUCCCUUUGUAAAUGUAUCCUUAUUCUAUACAGAGUGAAACCAUCUGCAUUAAUUAUUUUUUUGUCACACCUAUAUCAUUAGUGGCGGUUUGAUCAACGUUAAUAGCUUUUCAAUGAUGCUAGCAAGUCGGCAAUGUGAUGCUGUUUCCCUCUAAACAGGUGCGCGUUGCUUUGCGCAAGCUGGAAUUAUCAUCUUCGCGACCAGUAGACCCCCAAAUGAUCUAUUGAAAAUAAAAUAAGCUUUCUUUCUCUACGGUUGAAUCCAUUACAGUGGUCAGGUAAGGGCCACUCGUUGGAUUAUCUUCACAUUGUAUGUAAGAUAUUUCUCUACAUUUGGUCCAUUACAGUGGUCAGGUAAGGGCCACUUAUUGGACUAUCUUCACAUUGUAGGGCCUAUGUAAGAUAUUUCUCUACAUUUAGUCCAUGACAGUGGUCAGGUAAGGGCCACUUAUUGGAUUAUCUUCACAUUGUAAAAUCUUUUGCAGCCAGUUAGGCCUAGAGAUCUUAGUAUCAUAGAAAAAAUGGAAACUCAUAAGUUUCAAUUUGUUCUAUGAUCGUAUCAUUGUAGUGGUCAGGUAAGGACCAUUAAUUUACGUUUUCCUUCUCUUUAUACCAUUGCACCGGUCACAGAUCUGAUCAGGAAACCACUGUACAUUGUACUAACAAACCCUAGCUCCGCUAGGAAGAUUUUUUUUAUUUUCAGCAUCUUGCAGUCAGAUUAGGAGACCAGCAAGCCAGUGUGCUCAUGUCAGGAGCUGAUCAUGCGGAGGAACCGGAAGCAGGGAGGAGGAACAACGGAUGACUGACGACCCUGCUUGUCGGGCAACCCAUUACUGAUCUCUCAGAGAUGACGGUGUGCAAGAUGAGAUGUCACUGUGGACGAAGAAGGAACCGGAAGCAGGGAGGAGGACCGACGGAAGGACGGAAGACUCUGCUUGCAGAGCAAGUCUUCACCACUUCUUGAGAUUCCUCUUGCUUCGUGUUAGCAGUGGAGACAAUGGUGCAGUUGUUCACUGGGGCAGGACACGAAAUUCAGCAACACUCGACUGAGUUUUGCAGUGGCUACUCCUGAAAGUUCCCAUACGUUUCUCUUAAAAAAGUAGUCACAUUUUACCCAUCCGAGGGAUGUGAUGAGCCCUACAUGUCAGUAACAAAAGAGGGAAACAUGGCGCAUUCUAAAGUUACCUGCAAUUUUGUACAACCAAAAUAGCAAUCUAGUUAUUGACCUAUGCCCAUGUUAAGAUGCUGCUCCGUCAAAAAGGAACUAGAAUCGGCCUACGUCAGCUCUUGCUCGAAUUCAUAAUUGAUGCGUAAUAAACAAUCUUACCUAAAAUGCCAACAAAACUAAUUGUGUGGACAUUGGUUCAAGACAGAAAAUGCCCAAUCCCGACCUUAACGUGUGCAUUACCGAUAGUCUUAUUGUUGAAAAUUAAAGUCUGUUAAUACUUUUGUCUUGUUAUUUAUGAAACUUUAGAGGUCCAUGCUAUGUAACUUUUUAUAAUGUAAUCCUUGAAAAUGCACCUUGUCCCUUUUAAGCUUAUAUCAUUUUUCGUUUUGUUAUUUUCAGGGAGAUUGUUUGGUUUUCAUACUAAUGCAAAUUUCCAUAUUAAUGAGAAAAAAAUGUGACAUCAUUUCAUACACGGGGGUAUUUCCCCGGGUGAAUAGUCAAAAUGCCCCCAUUGAUAGUAUGGUAUGAACCCCCCCCCCCCACCCCCCGACUAAACUGUGUUCCACUGUCUGAAAGAGUUCGGUCUAAAAAGUCUAUUCUUGUUUACUAAAGACUUCAGUAUUAUUAGUGUUUUCAAAUUCUUGAAAAAAUGACUCCUUCGGGUAUGACAAUUUGUUCAGACCACCAGAUUUGUGAAAAAGAAGAUAAUCAAGUAAAUUGGCAUUGAAAGUCUCUUUCACCAAAAAAAAAGAAUGCUGUGCCACAAACUUGCAAUAAUAUGGAAUAAUUUACAUGAACAACUAAAAACCAUAUUUAAGAUACAUUCAAACCAGAACAAUACCUAAAGCCACCAGCCACUGAUAUUUCCGCCAGUAUAAACACUAGUUUAUAGUCAAAAAUGCGCUGUUUUACACAAUAUGUUUAUUUUCAAUGUAACUGACGUGCAAUAUUAGGUAAUUUAAAUAUUUCUGAUGGUUUUUAAGAUAAUAUGAAUAUGGUACAGGUAAAUUGUUCGUAUUAUGUUUGUUUUGUUUUUUAAAUUACUGCAAUCAUUCUCUCUUGAAUCUGUCAAUUGUAUUACUGUUUAUUCAAGGAGGCAUAGGGUAAUUUUUGGGGCCGCAAUGGAAAUAAGUUUGUAUAACUUUUUGUCGUUAUCCCUGCUUUUUCCACUGAAUGUGGAAUUCUGCAUGUUUUAUUUCUAAUUUACAGUAUAUAUAUUUUUUUGUUAUUGUUAAAUCUUAAUUUACCUGUAUCAUUAUUGUGGAAAUAGCGAAUAAAUCAAAUCAAAUAAAAGAAAAUACCAAGGUAUAAUCAUGGAAUUUUCGCAUACACAACGCCCUCUGUAGUUUGCGCAUGGAGUUUAAAUCUAUAUAGACCAUUGUCAUGUUGUGGCCAUCUUGAUUUUUUCCAUUCAAAUCAACAUAACCAAAGCGAGGCUGGAAGGGAAAAUAGUCUGGUUCUUUUUUGCACACAAAGCCAUUAUCGUCAGUACUGUUAUUGGAUACCGGGAACAUGACUGAAAUGGUGGCAGCACGAUGAAGGUCUAUUGAGAAUUUAUUCGCACAUGGUGUUUCCGCAAACCUUCAUUAUUUCGAUCACAAUAAUAAAUCUCAUAAAUUAUAA